rnacentral:rRNA from 1 species
AGCGAACGCUGGCGGCAGGCCUAACACAUGCAAGUCGAACGAACUCUUCGGAGUUAGUGGCGGACGGGUGAGUAACACGUGGGAACGUGCCCUUAGGUUCGGAAUAACUCAGGGAAACUUGUGCUAAUACCGAAUGUGCCCUUCGGGGGAAAGAUUUAUCGCCUUUAGAGCGGCCCGCGUUUGAUUAGCUAGUUGGUGGGGUAAAGGCUCACCAAGGCGACGAUCAGUAGCUGGUCUGAGAGGAUGAUCAGCCACAUUGGGACUGAGACACGGCCCAGACUCCUACGGGAGGCAGCAGUGGGGAAUCUUGCGCAAUGGGCGAAAGCCUGACGCAGCCAUGCCGCGUGAGUGAUGAAGGUCUUAGGAUUGUAAAAUUCUUUCACCGGGGACGAUAAUGACGGUACCCGGAGAAGAAGCCCCGGCUAACUUCGUG